rnacentral:sRNA from 1 species
UUACACUUUUAAUGAGACAGGGCUUC